rnacentral:rRNA from 1 species
CCUACGGGCGGCAGCAGUAGGGAAUCUUUCACAAUGGGCGAAAGCCUGAUGGAGCAACGCCGCGUGCAGGAUGAAGGCCUUCGGGUUGUAAACUGCUUUUAUAAGCGAGAAAUAUGAUGGUAACUUAUGAAUAAGGAUCGGCUAACUACGUGCCAGCAGCCGCGGUCAUACGUAGGAUCCGAGCAUUAUCCGGAGUGACUGGGUGGAAAGAGUUGCGUAGGUGGCAUAAUAAGUAGCUAGUGAAAUCUGGUGGCUCAAACAUUCAGACUAUUAGCUAAACUGUUAAGCUCGAGACCGUUAGGGGUAACUGGAAUUUCUAGUGUAGGAGUGAAAUCCGUAGAUAUUAGGAGGAACACCAAUGGCGAAGGCAGGUGACUGGGACGGUUCUGACGCUGAGGCACGAAAGCGUAGGGAGCAAACGGGAUUAGAUACCCCAGUAGUC